GAUGAACGCUGGCGGCGUGCCUAAUACAUGCAAGUCGAGCGAACAGACGAGGAGCUUGCUCCUCUGACGUUAGCGGCGGACGGGUGAGUAACACGUGGAUAACCUACCUAUAAGACUGGGAUAACUUCGGGAAACCGGAGCUAAUACCGGAUAAUAUAUUGAACCGCAUGGUUCAAUAGUGAAAGACGGUUUUGCUGUCACUUAUAGAUGGAUCCGCGCCGCAUUAGCUAGUUGGUAAGGUAACGGCUUACCAAGGCAACGAUGCGUAGCCGACCUGAGAGGGUGAUCGGCCACACUGGAACUGAGACACGGUCCAGACUCCUACGGGAGGCAGCAGUAGGGAAUCUUCCGCAAUGGGCGAAAGCUUGACGGAGCAACGCCGCGUGAGUGAUGGAGGUCUUCGGAUCGUAAAACUCUGUUAUUAGGGAAGAACAAAUGUGUAAGUAACUAUGCACGUCUUGACGGUACCUAAUCAGAAAGCCACGGCUAACUACGUG
rnacentral:rRNA from 1 species